rnacentral:rRNA from 1 species
GUUAUAUGGUCAAGUGAAGAAGCGCAUACGGUGGAUGCCUUGGCAGUCAGAGGCGAUGAAAGACGUGGUAGCCUGCGAAAAGCUUCGGGGAGUCGGCAAACAGACUKUGAUCCGGAGAUGUCUGAAUGGGGGAACCCAGCCAUCAUAAGAUGGUUAUCUUAAGCUGAAUACAUAGGCU